AUUGUUCAUGGUUUACAAUUACAACCCAUCCAUUGAUUAAUGUUCAAUUGAUUAAUAAACACUUUUACUAGGGCAUUAUACAAGUAUGCUGAUGCAAAAUAUUUUUUAGUAUCAUUUUGGACAUGAAACAUGCACUUGUUAACUAAGGUUAUUUAUAGUUUUUUUUAUAAGAUGACCAGAUUUACUGCUGUUGGUUUUUCAUUUUGUAAGGUGGAUACAGAUACGGAUAUGGAUAAUUUUACUUUUCACAUGUAUCAUUGCUAUUAUUACUACUGUACAUGUAUGUUUAUGUACCUGUAGUAUUUUUGACAUAACUAGUUGUGCAUAAGAGGUAUAAUGAAGGUUUAAUAGAUGUUUAGAGGUUGAAUUUGUAACUAAACCCUUCAAUUCAUUUUUUCAGGGGUCUGGAGUGUUUAUCUUUGAAGGGAUGAUGUCAUCGAUGAAGCAGCAGGAAGCUUGGGUCAUCCACUUCCCAAUGCCUAUACGUUGACAUUCCCCUGACGGAAGCUCUCCAAAUCCUAUUUUUAAUUGAAGAAGGUACAGGUACAAUGUAUAUACAUGCAAUCUAUUUACCAAAAAAGGGGAAGAUUUUGAAAUAACAAUAUUUGGCAUGAAUAUAGAACGAUGUUGAAAUGUUUAUAUUGUUUAUGACAAAUUGUAAGUGUCAUGGAUGGACGACCGUCAGUAUCAACAAAUCUUUUUUUCCUCAUUUUUUGCGAUCUUAUGGAACAGAUCGAUUCAGUAGGGGAGAGUUAUAGCGGGAUGGAAAAUAGAGAUUUGUUUGUUUGGGUAAAGAAGUUCGUUCGCCUUCUUCCAUUGUUUACAUUCCUUAAAGGUGUUGAUUUCGUUUGCUAGUUUUUCUGGGCCAGGCUAGCGAUUGGAAUGUGGAAGUGAAAGAGGGCAAACUGACUGGGUUGCUAGGCGUUCAGGGCUAAUAGAAGUCCAUUGGAACUUCAGUUAUUUUACUACUUUGCUUCUUAUUCAUGUUCUUCGGCUCGCUUGCAUUCUUCAGUGAUUAGAGAGAGAGAGCGAGAAUGUGAACAGGUGUGGAAGCAAGGAGUGAAUUCCUUGGUGGAAGUGAGCUGUGAGUGGGAGUGGCUGAAGUGACAAGAGUCGCAAAAGAGGAUUAAUUGACUGAGAGAGCAGUUGGGGAGUGGUUAAGAGAGUUACGUAAGUUGGAAGAAUAAUGGAAAGCCGAAGAACUUGAAUUUGGAAUCGGAGUACACAAUAAUUAAGUUCCGUUUUAUAUACUUACAUUAUAGGCGGAUUAAUUUCGCGCAUUACACCAAAAGUGAUAGGGUCGACUUGGGAAAGGCUUUUUCGCCACG